AGAAGCUUAGGAUAACCAGCCCAAACCGAAGGCCUUCAAAGCCUUAAAUAAGAGUUAAACCCUCUUAGUUUCUG
rnacentral:tRNA from 1 species